AGAGUGAACGCUGGCGGCAGGCCUAACACAUGCAAGUCGAACGGACCCUUCGGGGUUAGUGGCGGACGGGUGAGUAACACGUGGGGACGUGCCUUUAGGUUCGGAAUAGCUCCUGGAAACGGGUGGUAAUGCCGAAUGUGCCCUUCGGGGGAAAGAUUUAUCGCCUUUAGAGCGGCCCGCGUCUGAUUAGCUUGUUGGUGGGGUAAUGGCCCACCAAGGCUACGAUCAGUAGCUGGUCUGAGAGGAUGACCAGCCACAUUGGGACUGAGACACGGCCCAAACUCCUACGGGAGGCAGCAGUGGGGAAUCUUGCGCAAUGGGCGAAAGCCUGACGCAGCCAUGCCGCGUGUAUGAUGAAGGUCUUAGGAUUGUAAAAUACUUUCACCGGUGAAGAUAAUGACUGUAGCCGGAGAAGAAGCCCCGGCUAACUUCGUGCCAGCAGCCGC
rnacentral:rRNA from 1 species